rnacentral:lncRNA from 1 species
GGCAAGGGCGCCCGGAAGCGUGCGGAGCCGGCGGCCGGAGCGAUCCCUUGCCCAGCUGAUGGCGUGAUCUCAAAAACAGUUGUGAUGGCACAGGGCCUGGAGCAAGCGGCUGGCUGGGAGACGGGCUGGUGACUUCUGAUACAACCAGACACUUAAGGGAACGAUUCAUAAAGAGAAGCCUGGAAAGACUAAAGCUGCAAGAACAGGAGCACAGUUGAAAAAAAAAAGGAAAGACAAAAAAAAAAAAAAAAAGGGGGAGGGAAAAAAAGAAGAGGGUUGAAAGGUGAGGCUGUAGAGAAUGUCCAUCAGCUGUUUCUUCAGAUUUGUUACACUAUUUCAUACCAAGUGGUAUC